rnacentral:misc_RNA from 1 species
AAAAAAAAAAAUUAUUUUUCACCAUAGGAUUUCUUUUUUCUUUGAACAAAGAAGGUGAUUUCAAGUGAGAAGGAAUUGAAUGUCAUCAGAGUGAGAGAUAAAAAGUGGACCGAGUGAGAAAACCCAACGAGUGAGGAGAAAGAAAUUCAUAAGGAGGGGGAGUGUGCAGUGCCACAUUGAGGAGAGAAAUUUUUUAAUUAUGUAAAAGCCAGCUUGGACGCACUAUGUCAGCAGUUCGCCAGAGUCAACAGAAUUUGGCCAGAAGGACAUAGUGGAGUAUCUAAUUAGAGUUGAAGGAUUUUUAAUAAGCAAAUUAAAGUUGAGGUACGGCAAUGAAACAACUUUCUUAGUUGAGGAGAACUAGGUGAAAUUUGCCCUAGUUGAGUGAUGUUAGGUGCUUGUUAGUCUGUUAACCUGUCUUGGCAUUCUACAUUUUCAAAGGAAUUGCAAUGCACUGGUUUGUUUGACUGAGGUUUGGGCUUUUAUCUUAAAAAUGUGUAAUAAUCGGUUUUUCCUUCAUUUGUGUCCCUUCUUUGGCAGUAAUAUUAUCCAACUACUAU